UACGAAGGGGGCUAGCGUUGCUCGGAAUUACUGGGCGUAAAGGGCGCGUAGGCGGACAGUUUAGUCAGAGGUGAAAGCCCAGGGCUCAACCUUGGAAUUGCCUUUGAUACUGGCUGUCUUGAGUUCGGGAGAGGUGAGUGGAAUGCCGAGUGUAGAGGUGAAAUUCGUAGAUAAUUCGCAAGAACACCAGUGGCGAAGGCGGC
rnacentral:rRNA from 1 species